rnacentral:rRNA from 1 species
UAGUCCACACCGUAAACUAUGUUCACUCGAUGUUGGCUAAAUAUUGUCAGUGUCCAAGCGAAAGCGUUAAGUGAACCACCUGGGGAGUACGCCGGCAACGGUGAAACUCAAAGGAAUUGACGGGGGCCCGCACAAGCGGUGGAGCAUGUGGUUUAAUUCGAUGCAACGCGAAGAACCUUACCAGAGCUUGACAUGUCGCAAAUUUUUUACGAAAGUUUAAAGUGCCUUAGGGAAUGCGAAUACAGGUGGUGCAUGGCUGUCGUCAGCUCGUGUCGUGAGAUGUUGGGUUAAGUCCCGCAACGAGCGCAACCCUUGUCUUUAGUUGCCAUCAUUUAGUUGGGCACUCUAGAGAAACUGCCGGUGACAAACCGGAGGAAGGUAAGGAUGACGUCAAGUCAGCAUGCCCCUUACGCUCUGGGCUACACACGUGCUACAAUGGUCGUGACAAAGAGUUGCUAGUCUGCGAAGGCAAGCCAAUCUCAAAAAGCAUGUCCCAGUUCGGAUUGG